UCGGGUCGUAAAACUCUGUCCUCAAGGAAGAUAAUGACGGUACUUGAGGAGGAAGCCCCGGCUAACUACGUGCCAGCAGCCGCGGUAAUACGUAGGGGGCUAGCGUUAUCCGGCUUUACUGGGCGUACAGGGUGCGUAGGCGGUCUUUCAAGUCAGGAGUGAAAGGCUACGGCUCAACCGUAGUAAGCUCUUGAAACUGGGAGACUUGAGUGCAGGAGAGGAGAGUGGAAUUCCUAGUGUA
rnacentral:rRNA from 1 species